CAGGGAUGCCUCAGUAACGGCGAGUGAAGCGGCAACAGCUCAAAUUUGAAAUCUGGCGCCCUCGGCGUCCGAGUUGUAAUUUGUAGAGGAUGCUUCGGCGAGGGCUCCCGUCUAAGUCCCUUGGAACAGGGCGUCACAGAGGGUGAGAAUCCCGUACGUGAUGGGCUGCCCGAGCCGUGUGAAGCUCCUUCGACGAGUCGAGUUGUUUGGGAAUGCAGCUCUAAAUGGGAGGUAAAUUUCUUCUAAAGCUAAAUACCGGCCAGAGACCGAUAGCGCACAAGUAGAGUGAUCGAAAGAUGAAAAGCACUUUGGAAAGAGAGUUAAAAAGUACGUGAAAUUGUUGAAAGGGAAGCGCUUGCAACCAGACUCGCGCGCAGUUGCUCAGCCGGUCUCCUGACCGGCGUACUCUUCUGCGUCCGGGCCAGCAUCAGUUCGGGCGGCCGGAUAAAGGCCCCGGGAAUGUGGCUCCCCUCGGGGAGUGUUAUAGCCCGGGGUGCAAUGCGGCCAGCCCGGACUGAGGAACUCGCUUCGGCUAGGAUGCUGGCGUAAUGGUUGUAAGCGGCCCGUCUUGAAACACGGACCAAGGAGUCUAACAUCUAUGCGAGUGUUUGGGUGUCAAACCCAUGCGCGAAAUGAAAGUGAACGGAGGUGGGAACCCUCGCGGGUGCACCAUCGACCGAUCCUGAUGUCUUCGGAUGGAUUUGAGUAAGAGCAUAGCUGUUGGGACCCGAAAGAUGGUGAACUAUGCCUGAAUAGGGUGAAGCCAGAGGAAACUCUGGUGGAGGCUCGCAGCGGUUCUGACGUGCAAAUCGAUCGUCAAAUUUGGGUAUAGGGGCGAAAGACUAAUCGAACCAUU
rnacentral:rRNA from 1 species